rnacentral:rRNA from 1 species
GUGGGGAAUCUUGCGCAAUGGGCGGAAGCCUGACGCAGCGACGCCGCGUGCGGGAGGAAGGCCCUCGGGUCGUAAACCGCUUUCAGCAGGGACGAGGCCGCAAGGUGACGGUACCUGCAGAAGAAGCCCCGGCUAACUACGUGCCAGCAGCCGCGGUAAUACGUAGGGGGCGAGCGUUAUCCGGAUUCAUUGGGCGUAAAGCGCUCGUAGGCGGCCUGCUAGGUCGGGAGUCAAAUGCGGGGGCCCAACCCCCGGCCGCUCCCGAUACCGGCGGGCUUGAGUUUGGUAGGGGAAGGCGGAAUUCCCGGUGUAGCGGUGGAAUGCGCAGAUAUCGGGAAGAACACCGGUGGCGAAGGCGGCCUUCUGGGCCACAACUGACGCUGAGGAGCGAAAGCUGGGGGAGCGAACAGGAUUAGAAACCCCAGUAGUCC